GCUUUCUUGUUAGGCUCAUCGAGUGUGGUUUUUGACUAGCCUUUGGACAGGGAAAGGCUCUCUGUUUUGGUCUUGCCAAAUCUGAGCUCCCUCCCUACUUCGGUUUGACUAGUUGGUGUUUUGGGUUUUAUUUUAUUGGUCUCAAAACUUCAAGGAGAGGGAAAUAUAUAGGAAAUCGAUUACCAAGAGAGUUGGCAUGUUGAAAUUUUGUUGGGUUUAUAGGUUCUUUUAGGUCUAAAAGCUAUUGCUUGAUGGGGGAGGUUCUUGAUGUCUAAGGCAUCAGUAUCUCAAGGGUUAGGAUUUUCCUUUUCUGGUUGAAGCUAUUUCCUAAUGUUAUUGGAGAUUAAGAGACCGUUGAGCUCUACCACGCCACUCUCUUGGUCAAGCAAACAGUGCUGAUUUUGGAGAAGAUAGGAGGUUACCAGCCGUUUGAGGUUGAAUUUCGGUGGUCCUUGGUUCCCUUCCUGGCCGGAGUAGAGGCUGAGUGACAGCGUUGGUCCUCUUUUCCUCAUCUAAGUUCUAUGGUAGGAGGUUGGGUUGUGAUCUUUAUGUUGGGUCGUG
rnacentral:misc_RNA from 1 species